UCUGUCUUUGCAUUUAGUCAUUUAUGAAUAAAUCAGUUAAUUUGUGUAUAGCUUUUGGGGCAACCUCCAACUCUAUAACAUAUGAAUACAAUGUUUAAAAAAACUUCAAAAAUUUCUUUCUUUAUUUAGUUACUUCAAAAUGUGUCUGCGCAGCAUGACUAAGGUCUAUAUGCGACGCACAGCUUCUGCUGGGAAACACAUGAUCUAUCAUCUUUGCAGGGAAAAUCAUGAUAAUUUUUCCAGUUACCAGGCAACCAAGGCCUAAUAACUGAGGACGGACUCUGGAGCACCAGCAGAGGACUCUGAGGCGUCGCUGACAGCUGCCCACCUCCGCCGCUCUCACCUGAGCAAGGAGGGAAGAUCUGCAGUGCAUCAGGAGCUGCAGAAGGCGACGCAGACCAGCAGACAAAGAUGAGAGAUGAAAAGAAAUCCUCACGUUUAACGUUUAAACAUAAGAGGCUUCUUUCGCUCCUGUUAUUGUCUACUCACAGCUCUCUGGCACAAUGCAGCGUCAUGCAAAGAAAGCAGGAAAGUGCCUCUGGCAUGGCAGGCAGCGGGGACAGAUGGUGGAUCCAGCUCGGAUGCACAAGGAGAAGCCCCAGCAGAACGGAUGAAUCAUCAUUCCACCAACUGCUUCUCUCUGCACGUCAGGAUUUAGCUCGCUCACUCUUUGUUUUAGCCAACAACAACAAAAAGAAAUUCUGUAUUUACAGGCAAUAAACGCUUCAGAGGGAUUAUUUUCAGCAAAUGGAGCUAAAUGUUGAAGCUUUCACAAGAUGUUGGAAUAAUCAGUCUCUGAAAGUCUUGGGGCAAAGUUCUUAAACUGUAAAAUAUUCAUAGACAUAUGGGACUGAACAAGUUUUGGUUAACAUCUGCCUAUCUGAUUUUCUUAAAAGGUGCAGUAGCUUGAUGAAACCAACAGCUUGGCAUGGAAACCCUGCUUUAUCCAGAUUUAAUGUAAAGAAAAACACUGUGGAAAUUAAUGGCAUUAAAAUUUAAAACUGGCAUAAUUA